rnacentral:rRNA from 1 species
AGCAGCCGCGGUAAUUCCAGCUCCAAUAGCGUAUAUUAAAGUUGUUGCAGUUAAAAAGCUCGUAGUUGAAUUUCAGGCCUGGCUGGACGGUCCGCCCUUCGGGUGAGUACUGUCUGUGGUCGGGUCCUACCUUCUGGCGAAGCGUCAUGGCCUUAACCGGCCGUGGCGGGGAACCAGGACUUUUACUGUGAAAAAGUUAGAGUGUUCAAAGCAGGCAAUCGCUUGGAUACAUUAGCAUGGAAUAAUGGAAUAGGACAAUGGUUCUAUUUGUUGGUUUCUAGGACCGUUGUAAUGAUUAAUAGGGAUAGUUGGGGGCAUUAGUAUUCAAUUGUCAGAGGUGAAAUUCUUGGAUUUAUUGAAGACUAACUACUGCGAAAGCAUUUGCCAAGGAUGUUUUCAUUAAUCAAGAACGAAAGUUAGGGGAUCGAAGACGAUCAGAUACCGUCGUAGUCUUAACCAUAAACUAUGCCGACUAGGAAUCGGGCGAUGUUGAAAAAUGACGCGCUCGGCACCUCAUGGG